rnacentral:lncRNA from 1 species
GGGGGGGAGAAGAAGCGUAGAGUGUAUGAAGUGGGUUCUCAAGCAUCUGCUUUUUAUUCUCAGUCAUCUUAUAGAUCAUACUUAGCUACGUCAUCUCGCAUGCAUUCAGAAGCAUUGGAGAAUGAGCUUCAAUAGUUGAGAGAGAAAUUGACAGAGUAGAAUUAGCAGUUUCAGAAGAUUGUUGUUGCAAAUCAGGAGCUCCAGUAGAUUGUUGCUACAUUGAAGGAGCAGAAUGAGGAGCGAAAUGAAAGAGAGCAGAGGUUGCA